UACGGAGGGUGCAAGCGUUAUCCGGAUUCACUGGGUUUAAAGGGUGCGUAGGCGGAUUGGGAAGUCCGUGGUGAAAUCCCCGAGCUUAACUCGGGAACUGCCGUGGAUACUCUCAAUCUUGAAUAUCGUGGAGGUAAGCGGAAUAUGUCAUGUAGCGGUGAAAUGCUUAGAUAUGACAUAGAACACCAAUUGCGAAGGCAGCUUGCUACACGAUCAUUGACGCUGAGGCACGAAAGCGUGGGGAUCAAAC
rnacentral:rRNA from 1 species